rnacentral:rRNA from 1 species
AACGAACGCUGGCGGCAUGCCUAACACAUGCAAGUCGAACGAGACCUUCGGGCCUAGUGGCGCACGGGUGCGUAACGCGUGGGAACCUGCCCUUAGGUUCGGAAUAACUCCCCGAAAGGGGUCCUAAUACCGGUUAAUGUAUUCGGACCAAAGAUGUAUCGCCUUUGGAUGGGCCCGCGUUGGAUUAGCUAGUUGGUAGGGUAAAAGCGUACCAAGGCGACGUUCCAUAGCUGGUCUGGGAGGAUGAUCAGCCACACUGGGGCUGAGACACGGCCCAGACUCCGACGGGAGGCAGCAGUGGGUAAUAUUGGACGAUGGGCGAAGGCCUGAUCCAGCAAUGCCGCGUGAGUGAUGAAGGCCUUAGGGUUGUAAAGCUCUUUUACCCGGGAUGAUAAUGACGGUACCGGGAGAAUAAGCUCCGGCUAACUCCGUG